AACGGAUUUGGCGGCGAAAUAGUCCAUCUAGAGGAACCUGUCCCGUAAACGAUAGUCCACGAUGAAUUUUACUUUUAUUAGCGAUCAGUUUGUAUACCGCUGUUGUUAGAUAGUUUUGUAAGGAAUCUCUCUUAAAUGAUUUAUUCAUUGACUUCAAGUAAAGGUGCAGCUUAUGUAAAAGGGAGAGAUGGGUUACAUUUAAAGGAAUAAUAUGGAUUAAUAUAGGAAGAAUUAUUAUGAAAGUGGAUUUAGAAGUAAAUUUUUGUGAAUUUGAUAAGUGCUCUAUUUUGUGUACAUACCGCCCGUC
rnacentral:rRNA from 1 species